UCUGGGUUUAUCCCAGCGGUCCCGUCAGAGAAAUUUAACUGACGGCGAGGGUUGCGCUCGUUGCGGGACUUAACCCAACACCUCACGGCACGAGCUGACGACAGCCAUGCAGCACCUGUGCUAGCUCCCCGAAGGGUCCUUCACCUUUCGGAUCCGUACCACUAGCAUGUCAAGCCCAGGUAAGGUUCUUCGCGUUGCGUCGAAUUAAACCACAUGCUCCGCUGCUUGUGCGGGUCCCCGUCAAUUCCUUUGAGUUUUAGCCUUGCGGCCGUACUCCCCAGGCGGGGCACUUAAUGCGUUAGCUUCGCUACCGGAGGGGUCGAUACCCCCGACAGCUAGUGCUCAUCGUUUACGGCGUGGACUAC
rnacentral:misc_RNA from 1 species